rnacentral:misc_RNA from 1 species
GAUUAUCUUAAAUUUUAUUCUAUUUAGUGAUAAAUAUGAAGAAAAAUUACUAGAAGGCAUCAACAGGGAUGCAAUCCUUGAACAAAAUCUAAAAGAGAAUAAAAAUAGCAAGAUAAAAUCCCUACAUCAGAAUGAAUAGUUUUAGUCCAACAAUAUAAAAUGAUGGAGCAAGUUAAUUCCUUUGUCUCAAAAGCCCUUCUAUUAGGUAUCCUUUCCAAUUUUCCUUCAAUGCCCUUCAUCUUGUGAUGCAGCAGAAGCUGUGAUGGAAAAUUUAAGGGCUUCAAAGGACCAGAGGCUGUUCCAUGAGAUUAAAUAGGCAAGCCAACUAUAUAGAUAAAACCAUUAUCACAUAGCAAUCCUAAAUAUUGCUUAGUAAUGCG